rnacentral:rRNA from 1 species
GGAAACGCCGUGGCAGGGGCCGGGGUGAUAGGGAGGAGCCAAGCGUUAUGCGGAAGCAGUGGGUUGAAAGGGGCCGUAGGCGGUCUUAUAAGUCAGUGGUGAAAGCCCAUCGCUCAACGAUGGAACUGCCAUUGAUACUGUAAGACUUGAAUGCUUAGGAAGUAACUAGAAUAUGUAGUGUAGCGGUGAAAUGCGUAGAUAUUACAUGGAAUACCAAUUGCGAAGGCAGGUUACUACUAAGUGAUUGACGCUGAUGGACGAAAGCGUGGGGAGCGAACAGGAUUAGAUACCCCAGUAGUC